CCUACGGGAGGCAGCAGUGAGGAAUAUUGGUCAAUGGACGAGAGUCUGAACCAGCCAAGUAGCGUGAAGGAUGACUGCCCUAUGGGUUGUAAACUUCUUUUAUAUGGGACUAAACUGUUCCACGUGUGGGAUUUUGUAUGUACCAUAUGAAUAAGGAUCGGCUAACUCCGUGCCAGCAGCCGCGGUCAUACGGAGGAUCCGAGCGUUAUCCGGAUUUAUUGGGUUUAACGGGAGCGUAGGUGGAUUGUUAAGUCAGUUGUGAAAGUUUGCGGCUCAACCGUAAAAUUGCAGUUGAAACUGGCAGUCUUGAGUACAGUAGAGGUGGGCGGAAUUCGUGGUGUAGCGGUGAAAUGCUUAGAUAUCACGAAGAACUCCGAUUGCGAAGGCAGUUCACUGGACUGCAACUGACACUGAGGCUCGAAAGUGUGGGUAUCAAACAGGAUUAGAUACCCCGGUAGUC
rnacentral:rRNA from 1 species